CACAGCUCUAGAGAGCUGGCUCGGGGUAGUGAUGUUGACACACAUCGCAGGAGGAAGGCUGGAUGCAGCAAUGGAUAGCCGUGUUUAAUAUAAAACAUUGCAUCAGAUGCUGAGUUUAUGGGCUGGCUGCAGAACUCAGUCCCAGGACCCCAGGCUUAUAUCCUGAGCCAAGCUGGAUGCUUAACCAACUAAGCCACCCAGACACCCCAGGAAGUGAGAAGCGGAGGGACAGAGACGUUAAGUAAUAUGCCCCAGAUCACACAGCUGGUAAAUAUGUCAGAACCAAGGUUUGAAUCCAGCCCGGAUCCAGAGCAUGGGCUCUUCACUACUGUACGGUUAUUGCCUUCUAUUGUCAGUCAUUCACGCGUGGAAAUAUUUUGCUACAGCAAGAACGAAGCAGGCUAAAAAAAAAAAAAAAAAAAACAAAACAAAAAAAAACUAGUUUGCCGCGUUAGCAAUGAUGACAACUGUGACAUUAACUGUAUUUAUUGUAUCUUCAGAGGUUGAGUUGGUAGUUGGGAGGCGAGAACUAUUUGUCAGCACAUGGGAGAAGGCAUUUCGGCUAUAAAGCCCAAAACUGAUUUUCUGUACUCAAGCAGAUGAGAACCUCAUGUUUCAUUUUUAUGACUGUUGCAUAUAAAUGUGCUAAAAUACACAUAUUGGAAAACAGCUUCUUUUGUAAAUGCUAAUGCCUUACUCUAUUCAAAUAUCAUGUCAGGUUUCAAAUUUCUCUUUGAAUCCGGAGCCAUUUUCUUGUUUCUUCUGGGGCCCAUGAGAUCAUAAUCAUUACUGAUAGUUAAAGUUUGAAGUUUGGAAUAUACAUUUCAAAGGAAAAGUGCCACAGAAUUUAAAGAAUAGAGCUCACAUUAAAUUUAGAGUGGCCAAAGUGCCUUUUACCACUGUUUCUCUGCAUGCUGUGCACUAACAAAAGAUGCAGUCCAACUGGUGUAAGUACUUCUAAGGUAUUGAACAAAUACUCUGGAUCAAUGCAGUGUGCCUACUUUUCUUAGAGCAUGGAAUUUGUUGUGGACACUGCUCCUGAGUUAGGGAAGGUACUAUGUAUUGUACCAUAUAAGAAUUCUCCAUUUGGCCUUCCUAGCUGUUACUCCCAGCUGUUGACCCUAACAGCUCAAUUAUGAAUGCUAUUUGGGGUUAACAAAAUCAGGAAAGAAUUACAAAUAGAGAUGCAAAAAUUAGGGCAUCAAAAACUGAAGAAGAAAUCAAACUUGUUGGAAGUUGUCGGGAGGAAACAGUCAAGGAGAAUAGUGCCUUGUGGGAAUUAUCAAGAGUUUAUUCAGGAAAAUACAUAUUUACCUUUUUGAAAUGAAUCAUUUUAAAACAGAAUUCAUCAGUCUUUCUGUAAGAAUACACAAUGACUAUGCUUAUUUUGUGGCAUACUAACUGAAUAUAAAAAAUACGUGAGCAGAAACUUGUGUUUGUCCCUCUGUUUGGCAUAACUUUUGACAAGCCUUCCAACUCUACCUAUGCAAAUGUGAUAAAUUUUGCCUUCAGAAAAGGUCCACAUCAAAGUGAAGAGCAUAAAUGCUUAUGCAUAGAUAUGAACUGUUAUUUUAUUACUAAAAGGAAGAAAGGCCAUUAUAAGUUAGCAUAAAAUUGUCUCUUAACUGUCUCUUGAAAAAACCUUUUCCCCUCUUGCUUUCCUUGUUUUUUAAAUAGAGAAACUACUU